rnacentral:rRNA from 1 species
UACGUAGGGGGCAAGCGUUGUCCGGAAUCAUUGGGCGUAAAGCGCGUGUAGGCGGCUCGUUAAGUCUGCUGUGAAAGUCCAAGGCUCAACCUUGGGAUGCCGGUGGAUACUGUCGAGCUCGAGUCCGGAAGAGGAGUGUGGAAUUCCUGGUGUAGCGGUGAAAUGCGCAGAUAUCAGGAGGAACACCAAUGGCGAAGGCAGCACUCUGGGACGUGACUGACGCGGAGACGCGAAAGCGUGGGGAGCAAACAGG